rnacentral:rRNA from 1 species
UACAGAGGUCUCAAGCGUUGUUCGGAUUCAUUGGGCGUAAAGGGUGCGUAGGCGGCGCGGUAAGUCGGGUGUGAAAUCUUGGAGCUUAACUCCGAAACUGCAUUCGAUACUGCCGUGCUUGAGGACUGGAGAGGAGACUGGAAUUUACGGUGUAGCGGUGGAAUGCGCAGAUAUCAGGAGGAACACCAAUAGCGAAGGCAGCUCGCUGGGACGUUACUGACACUGAGGCGCGAAAGCGUGGGGAGCGAACAGG